rnacentral:misc_RNA from 1 species
AUUGCAUUCAAUUACACCAAUAAAAUGAACAGUUCGUCUCGUGUACAACUUCCGCAGAGGUCUGGCACUAAAAUCACAUAAAUAUUCACUUCAGAAUCCAGACCAAAAGAACAUUGCAUAAAACAGAAAACACACGGCUGCUGACGAGAAAACUGGGCAGCGCUUGCAUAUGUAGUUGGUCCAUCCCAUUGGUUACCGAUAUCACUCCGAUCACCCUCGGCCCCUGCCUCCAACUCUGUUGCCACCAGGUUUUCCACCAGGGCCACAGAGU